GAUAUUGGGGUCAAACCUGCUGCAUUUAGGGCCUCCAUGGUAUAACUCUUUGUCAAGAGACAAAAUCUGGGCUCCUUAAGGAAACGAAGAAAAGACCUGAACCAACAUAAGGAAUGGAGUUCUAUGCCGAUUUUUGUUUUGGGUGAUUGGAUGGGAAGACAGCAGAGGAUGACAAGCCUUAGCUUCAGUGGGUGCAAUUUGCUGGCG
rnacentral:misc_RNA from 1 species